GCCAUCUUGUCGGGGUGCCUUUUUACUGUGUUGGUCAAUAGAUCAUGUAUGAAAAGUGCUGAGAUUGUCCCGUUGAACCUGAUCAGAGUCACGUCUGCGUAGGGAACAAGCGUGUUUUUGCA
rnacentral:ncRNA from 2 species